AAUCAACGCUGGCGGCGCGCUUAACACAUGCAAGUCGAACGAGAAAGGGGAGCAAUCCCUGAGUAAAGUGGCAGACGGGUGAGUAACACGUGGGUCAUCCACUCCUUGGUAGGGGAUAACCCUGGGAAACCGGGGCUAAUACCGCAUAAGUCCGAGAGGAGAAAGGCGAAAGUCGCCGAGGAAGGAGCCCGCGGCCGAUUAGCUAGUUGGUAGGGUAAAGGCCUACCAAGGCUUUGAUCGGUAGCCGGCCNGAGAGGGCACACGGCCACACUGGCACUGAGACACGGGCCAGACUCCUACGGGAGGCAGCAGUGGGGAAUCUUGCACAAUGGGGGAAACCCUGAUGCAGCGACGCCGCGUGAGCGAUGAAGCCCUUCGGGGUGUAAAGCUCUUUCGACGGGAACGAUAAUGACGGUACCCGGAGAAGAAGCUGC
rnacentral:rRNA from 1 species